GACUAGCAGAGUCUGGACAUGAGCCCCACGUUUAUCUUACUACAAAGCGAAUGCCUAAGAUCACAGCUUUAAGAGUAGCUACUGCUUGUCAUUCUGCCCUGGGCCAGUGACCUCAUAAUGGAAGCUUGGCUGUUCUUCCAGAAGCUGGGGUGCUGGAGACUGAGAGAGGAAAAGAACUACCUUUGCAAUCUUUGACAGCAGAGAGACUAAGGCAGAAUUUUCUGAUUUCGUAUAGUAUUUUGACAAAUGUGUAAAAUGCCCAGAAUGUGUAAGCUGCUAAAUGAACAUCCUGGCCCUGGAUAUGGACAGGCAGCAUGCUUAAUAAGAAUGCAAAAUGUUCUGGAAAGUC
rnacentral:lncRNA from 10 species